AUCCCAACUCUGUUCUGUCUACGU
rnacentral:siRNA from 1 species